CAGCAGUAGCCGCGGUAAUACGGAGGGUGCAAGCGUUAUCCGGAUUCACUGGGUUUAAAGGGUGCGUAGGCGGAUCUGUAAGUCAGUGGUGAAAUCUCCAGGCUUAACCUGGAAACUGCGGUGGAUACUAUUAGUCUUGAAUACUGUGGAGGUUAGCGGAAUAUGUCAUGUAGCGGUGAAAUGCAUAGAUAUGACCUAGAACACCAAUUGCGAAGGCAGCUGGCUACACAGAUAUUGACGCUGAGGCACGAAAGCGUGGGGAUCAAACAGGAUUAGAUACCCCAGUAGUCCCUGUCUCUUAUAC
rnacentral:rRNA from 1 species